rnacentral:rRNA from 1 species
UCUUCGGAACCUAGCGGCGAAUGGGUGAGUAACACGUGCUUAAUCUACCCUUCAGAUUGGAAUACCCAAUGGAAACAUUGGCUAAUGCCGGAUACGCAUGGAAUCGCAUGAUUCCGUUGUGAAAGGGGCCUCAAAGCCCCACUGAAGGAUGAGGGUGCGGAACAUUAGUUAGUUGGUAGGGUAAUGGCCUACCAAGACUAUGAUGUUUAGCCGGGUCGAGAGACUGAACGGCCACAUUGGGACUGAGAUACGGCCCAAACUCCUACGGGAGGCAGCAGUAGGGAAUAUUCCACAAUGAGCGAAAGCUUGAUGGAGCGACACAGCGUGCACGAUGAAGGUCUUCGGAUUGUAAAGUGCUGUUAUAAGGGAAGAACACUCAGAGGAGGAAAUGCCUUUGAGCUGACGGUACCUUGUCAGAAAGCGAUGGCUAACUAUGUGCCAGCAGCCGCGGUAAUACAUAGGUCGCAAGCGUUAUCCGGAAUUAUUGGGCGUAAAGCGUUCGUAGGCUGUUUAUUAAGUCUGGAGUCAAAUCCCGGGGCUCAACCCCGGCUCGCUUUGGAUACUGAUAAACUAGAGUUGGAUAGAGGUAAGCGGAAUUCCAUGUGAAGCGGUGAAAUGCGUAGAUAUAUGGAAGAACACCAAAGGCGAAGGCAGCUUACUGGGUCUAUACUGACGCUGAGGGACGAAAGCGUGGGGAGCAAACAGGAUUAGAUACCCUGGUAGUCCACGCCGUAAACGAUGAUCAUUAGUCGGUGGAGAGUUCACUGACGCAGCUAACGCAUUAAAUGAUCCGCCUGAGUAGUAUGCUCGCAAGAGUGAAACUUAAAGGAAUUGACGGGGACCCGCACAAGCGGUGGAGCAUGUGGUUUAAUUUGAAGAUACACGGAGAACCUUACCCACUCUUGACAUCU